UGGGGAAUUUUGGACAAUGGGCGAAAGCCUGAUCCAGCAAUGCCGCGUGUGUGAAGAAGGCCUUCGGGUUGUAAAGCACUUUUGUCCGGAAAGAAAUGGCUCUGGUUAAUACCUGGGGUCGAUGACGGUACCGGAAGAAUAAGGACCGGCUAACUACGUGCCAGCAGCCGCGGUAAUACGUAGGGUCCAAGCGUUAAUCGGAAUUACUGGGCGUAAAGCGUGCGCAGGCGGUUGUGCAAGACCGAUGUGAAAUCCCCGAGCUUAACUUGGGAAUUGCAUUGGUGACUGCACGGUUAGAGUGUGUCAGAGGGGGGUAGAAUUCCACGUGUAGCAGUGAAAUGCGUAGAGAUGUGGAGGAAUACCGAUGGCGAAGGCAGCCCCCUGGGAUAACACUGACGCUCAUGCACGAAAGCGUGGGGAGCAAACAGG
rnacentral:rRNA from 1 species